GUGAGUCAUCGAAUCUUUGAACGCAUAUUGCGCUCUUUGGUAUUCCGAAGAGCAUGCUUGUUUGAGUAUCAGUAAACACCUCAACCUCUUCUUGAUUUUUCAAAAGGAGGGUGGACUUGAGCUAUCCCAACAACCUUUACCGGUCGGCGGGCGGCUUGAAAUGCAGGUGCAGCUGGACUUUUAUCUGAGCUAAAAGCAUAUCUAUUUAGUCCUCGUCAAACAGGAUUAUUACUUUUGCUGCAGCUAACAUAAAGGAUAAUUGUCCUCUUUGCUGACUGAUGCAGGAUUUUACGACACUUUAUGUGUUGUUCAACUCGAUCUCAAAUCAAGUAAGACUACCCGCUGAACUUAAGCAUAUCAAUAAGCGGAGGA
rnacentral:misc_RNA from 1 species